rnacentral:rRNA from 1 species
GACGAACGCUGGCGGCGUGCUUAACACAUGCAAGUCGUACGGUAAGGCCCUUUCGGGGGUACACGAGUGGCGAACGGGUGAGUAACACGUGAGUAACCUGCCCACAACUUUGGGAUAACGCUAGGAAACUGGUGCUAAUACUGGAUAUGUGCUCCUGCUGCAUGGUGGGGGUUGGAAAGCUCCGGCGGUUGUGGAUGGACUCGCGGCCUAUCAGCUUGUUGGUGGGGUAGUGGCCUACCAAGGCGGCGACGGGUAGCCGGCCUGAGAGGGUGACCGGCCACAUUGGGACUGAGAUACGGCCCAGACUCCUACGGGAGGCAGCAGGGGGGAAUAUUGCACAAGGGGCGCAAGCCUGAUGCAGCAACGCCGCGUGCGGGAUGACGGCCUUCGGGUUGUAAACCGCUUUCAGCAGGGACGAAGCUUUUUGUGACGGUACCUGCAGAAGAAGCACCGGCUAACUACGUG